GGAUGGAUCAUUCCAACAAACCCUUUGGGUUCUAACUUGUAAUUCUUUUAAAGCUGUCAUAUGUAAACAACUAAUUCAAAACUUUCAACGAUGGACGACUCGACUCUGAUAAUGAGGAAGGACGCAGCGAACUGCGAUAAGUAGUAGGAUGUGCCAUCUUCAAGAAUGCAAAAUUUCUGAACGCUUUUGUACUGCUGAUUUGUCUGCAGUAUCUUUGAUUCCGAAUCAACUCAUUUCUAUUAUUAAUCAUUUUGAGGUUGUAGUAACGCAACGACGCUUCGUAUCGCAUAACAAGGAACAAUAUGUAACCUAGUUAUAUGUCUGAAUCAUUGAUCGGAAUUCAAAGAAAGCCACCCGCCGAAUUUAAGCAUAUAAUUAAGCGGAGGAAUAGAAACCAACUGGGAUUCUCUUAUUAGCGGCGAGCGAAAAGGGAUCAGUCCUGAUGUGAAUUGCCUAAGUCUUAGGUAAGUUGUGCAUCUGGGAGUAAUCUGGAUUAUCUAACUACUUUGAACGUCUUGAAUGACGUGCUCCAAAGGGUGAUAGCCCCGUUGAGUGGUUUGAAAGUUUAUCAGAUUACUCCUUUUGGAGUCACGCUCUUUGAGAGUAGAGUGCAAGUCGGUGGUAAUCUCCAUCGUCGACUAAAUAUUAAUCAGAGAUCGAUAGAGAACAAGUACCGUGAGGGAAAGUUGAAAAGCACUUCGAAAGGAGAGUAAAAAGACCCGAAAUCGUUGAGGGGAAGCGAGUACACAAAGCUGGGCUUGUCUCGACACAGGUUGUUAUUCAUGACUUCCUGUGCAACGCAUGUGUACACGACCCGUCUUGAAACACGGACCAAGGAGUUAGCCAAUUUUGCGAGUGUAAGGGUGAUAAACCCGAUUGCGAAGUUAAUGCAAUUGCUGUGAAAUUUGCAACAGUGGCCGGCUAAUCGCUGUGUUUUAGCAUAAUUGGUUAGACCCGAAAGAUGGUGAUCUAUACCUGAGUUGGGUGAAGCCAGGGGAAACUCUGGUGGAAGCUCGUAGCGAUACUGACGUGCAAAUCGUUCGUCGAACUUGGGCAUAGGGGCGAAAGACUAAUCGAACCAUCUAGUAGCUGGUUCCCUC
rnacentral:misc_RNA from 1 species